GCCACGCCCGAAGUCGUUACCUCAACCGCAAGGAGGGGGAUGCCUAAGGCAGGGCUAGUGACUGGGGUGAAGUCGUAACAAGGUAGCCGUACCGGAAGGUGUGGCUGGAUCACCUCCUUAAAGGGAGACCUAAUUCAGGUAGGAGACGAAAAAAAAGUAGUCCCUACCAAGAAUCAAUCCCAAAAGGUCGGAACGAGGUAUGUGGCUUUCAAACUAGGUUCUGGGUUCAUAAAAGACCUGAAUCAGGAACAAGGGCUAUUAGCUCAGGUGGUUAGAGCGCACCCCUGAUAAGGGUGAGGUCCCUGGUUCGAGUCCAGGAUGGCCCACCUGCACAGGUGGCAAAAACAAAGAAAAGAAGCUCCGAAUCAGCACCUUAUCUUACUCAUAUAGUAAGUAAGAGAGAAUGCUGGCUCUGAGUUCAGAGUCCAGAGGAACCUUGAAAACUGCAUAGAGCUAGGUGAAAAAGCCAAAAAAGAAGACCGCAAGGUCAAGCUAAUAAGGGCUAACGGUGGAUACCUAGGCACACCAGAGG
rnacentral:misc_RNA from 1 species